AUUUUCGAAAAUUAAUUUAACCAAACUUUCCGUAAAAAAGUGAAUGUAUAAUGUUAAAAACAAAAGGCAGAGCAAAACAGAGGUACCCACCACCCAGCAAGGUAAAAAUCAAUGCCAAAGCCAAAAUCCCCAACAAUCAGUAGCAGCGUGUGCUUUCCACUCUCAACUCUCAACUCUCAACUCUCAAAAAGUCUCAAUUCUCAACUCUCAUGGCUACAAGCAGCAGCUGCAGUUCCCCUUAUACCAACGGAUCAUCUCCAAUAACGACAAUAGCUCAAGACCAUCUCUUCUCCAUCUUACUCCUCUUACCUUUGGACUCCAUUUUUUGCUUUGCUCUAACUUGUAAGAAGUUCAGGUCCCUCACUUACUCAGACUCUUUAUGGGAAUCACUCUGCCGAAGAGAUUGGGGAAACUCCACCAUUGAUGCACUCAGAUCCUUUGCUGUUGACGAUAAACAGCAACAAUUUCCUUGGAAGAAGCUCUACCAGCAAAUCUACCAAUUGGACUCUGUUUACUGUCGCAGACUGUUGACGCAUCCACUAGGAGGAGAAGAGCUGAUUCUUCCUCGACCCAGAGCUUCUCAUUCUCUCAAUUUUGUUUCUGGUAGUCUAGUUCUCUUCGGCGGCGGCUGCGAGGGAGGAAGGCAUCUGGACGAUACAUGGGUAGCAUAUGUUGGCAAUGACUUCAAGAGAAUAUUGAAAUGGAAUAAGAUUGGAUCAGGGGUACCAAGUGGCCGCUUUGGGCAUUCAUGUGUCGUGAUUGGCGAUUCUCUAGUGCUUUUUGGAGGAAUAAAUGAUCAUGGGGCCCGCCAAAAUGAUACAUGGAUUGGCCAAGUAGCGGUACAUGAUGCAUUUGGUAUCACAUUAUCCUGGAGACUACUUGACGUUGGUUCCGUUAUGCCUCCACCAAGAGGCGCUCAUGCUGCAUGUAGCAUGGAUAAAAGGAGGAUGCUGAUUCAUGGAGGAAUUGGUUUGUCUGGCUUGCGAUUGGGAGAUACAUGGGUAUUGGAACUGUCUGAGAAUCUUCAUCUUGGAGUUUGGCAAGAAAUUGCGACUCAUCCAUCUCCUCCUUCUCGCUCUGGUCAUACAUUAACUCCUGUUGGAGGAAACCAAACAAUUUUGUUUGGUGGGAGGGGUUUAGGCUAUGAAGUGCUUAAUGAUGUAUGGCUUUUUGAUACAUCUGAUAGUCACUGCAGAUGGGUACAGUUACUAUUUGACUUGCAAAAUAUACCCCAAGGAUUGACCCUGCCAAGAGUUGGUCACUCUGCUAAUCUCAUCAUAGGUGGACGAUUGUUAAUUUAUGGAGGAGAAGAUUCCUACAGACACAGGAAAAAUGACUUUUGGGUGUUGGAUAUCAGCUCAGUGACGUCCAUUAUGCAGUCUGGGUCUCCUCCAAGCCCGGAGAGAUCAAUGACUAAGUUGUGGAGAAGGCUCAAGUCCAAAGGUGAUAACCCUUGUGGCAGAUCAUUUCACCGAGCUUGUGUGGAUCCUUCAGGUCGCAAUUUAUACAUCUUCGGUGGCAUGGUAGAUGGUUUACUUAAUCCUGCUGAAUCCUCUGGGUUGAGGUUUGACGGGGAGUUGUUUCUUGUGGAGCUUUUGCUUCAGUGCUAGUGGGAUUUGGAAGGGGAUUAUUGGAAAAACAAGUAUGUGGUGAUCCCAAAACGCUGCUGCUUUACAUGGCAAUGAAAGUAGUGUAAAUAUCAGUCCUACCAGUGAGAAGCAGGUUAGCAGCCAGCGGGGUGUUUUGUACAGUAAAAGAUAUUGUAAUUUGGUGUAAGCAUUGGAUCUGAAGAAUUGUUAAGUAUUGGCAGUGCUGGAGAUGGACAAGAAGAAGAAGAAGAGCAGCAGAUUCAAGAACAACAACUUCAUAUUACGAGUAAGACUCCUAUUAUAGAGACUGUCAAGAAAAUGUUUUCUUUUCCUCAAACUUCAGCCAAUUACUGGAGCAGAUUCGAAUCACUAAUCAAACAAGGCAAGGCCUACUUCUCUCCUCCAACUCUAGAUUUCAGAGAUAGCCAGGAAGCACAGGCCAGGGCUGAAGGGGGAGCAGCACCAGGUGAAAAGGUGAAAGAAGCAGUACUGAAAAGCCUUGACAAGAGUAAAGCCGCCUUAGAAGAAUCGGCCAAAUCAGCAGCAAAAUUAGCUGGGGAAGCAGUGAGCAAGACUACAAAUAAGAUGAAAAGAACAUUUUCUUUUGGAGAUAGAGACCCUGGACACCAAGAGGAUGAGCUCUAAUGGAAAAAGAACUUUGUAAAAUAAAUGUGAAUAGUUAGCUUAGUUUCAUAAUGUAUGUACCAGUAUUUCCACUUGAUUAGUGUAGUUUUUUCCAAUUGGGUUGUUCAUUGUUGUCUCAUGUAUUUAUAUUAUUAUAUAAAUAGUUAUAA